rnacentral:rRNA from 1 species
GACGAACGCUGGCGGCGUGCCUAAUACAUGCAAGUGGGACGCAAGGAAACACACUGUGCUUGCACACCGUGUUUUCUUGAGUCGCGAACGGGUGAGUAACGCGUAGGUAACCUGCCUAUUAGCGGGGGAUAACUAUUGGAAACGAUAGCUAAUACCGCAUAAUAUUAAUUAUUGCAUGAUAAUUGAUUGAAAGAUGCAAGCGCAUCACUAGUAGAUGGACCUGCGUUGUAUUAGCUAGUUGGUAAGGUAAGAGCUUACCAAGGCGACGAUACAUAUCCGACCUGAGAGGGUGAUCGGCCACACUGGGACUGAGACACGGCCCAGACUCCUACGGGAGGCAGCAGUAGGGGAUCUUCGGCAAUGGACGAAAGUCUGACCGAGCAACGCCGCGGGAGUGAAGAAGGUUGUCGGAUCGUAAAGCUCUGUUGUAAGUCAAGAACGUGUGUGAGAGUGGAAAGUUCACACAGUGACGGUAGCUUACCAGAAAGGGACGGCUAACUACGUG